UACGAAGGGGGCUAGCGUUGCUCGGAUUGACUGGGCGUAAAGGGCGCGUAGGCGGUUCGUACAGUCAGACGUGAAAUUCCUGGGCUCAACCUGGGGGCUGCGUUUGAUACGUGCGGACUUGAGUGCGGAAGAGGGUCGUGGAAUUCCCAGUGUAGAGGUGAAAUUCGUAGAUAUUCGCAAGAACACCAGUGGCGAAGGCGGCUCACUGGCCCGGUACUGACGCUGAGGCACGAAGGCCAGGGGAGCAAACGGG
rnacentral:rRNA from 1 species